rnacentral:tRNA from 1 species
GGAGGUGAGGUUCAGUGGUAGAGCACAUACCUAGCAAAUAUGAGGCCUUGAGUUCAAAUCCCAGUACCCA